GCAGAUCAAGGGAGAAAGAGAUGCACUGGAAAGAAGCAAAGAUGAAGAGUCUAAGCGUUUCCGGAGCAACAACAUCGAUUUUGACUCCAACAUUUUGGUGCGAACUAAGGAAUUAAUGGUAGAUGUUUCUUCAAACUGCAUGGAGGUUGCACUUAAGGUAAUUUUUAUCUUCAUAGAUUACCUGAUUAGCAAAGGAUAUAAAAGAGGAAAGAAGAAGAAAGAGAAACUUAUAGCUUAUCCCACUAACAAAUACUGCAGAACGAACUCAGAACAGUUCUGAACCUUUUGGCCUUUUGAUCUAGGAAUGGAGGGAGGCAAAGGAAGCAGAGAGUGCAGAAAGCGGGAAAAUAGGUGAUGGCCAAUUAAAGACAAGUGAAAAUAUGCUUUGGAGGGCUUUUCAGCUAGCAUAUCGGGUCUAUAGCUUUGCUGGUGGACAAGAUGAACGAGCUGAUAUUUUGAGCAAAGAACUAGCUCGUGAAAUAGAGAUGAUCGCCAGAGUUAGUAUAACUAACUCUAAGCAAUAGCAAAAAUCAGUGCCCUACGCUACGCAAAAUUAUGACAUCCUCAAUUUCGGUGAUAUAAAUUGAAAGCUCAGAACAGAUGCCAAUGUAAUAAAUUUAAAUGGCAGCAUUAAUAAUAAAAGAGACUUUGGAUUUUUAUAGGAAUGUUUUAUGGAUAAUUGGAGCAAGAAAAGCACAAUUUUACUUCCAAAUUUCCAGUUUUGCUCUGAAG
rnacentral:misc_RNA from 1 species